rnacentral:rRNA from 1 species
CGCGUAGGUGGCCAAUUAAGUCAAAUGUGAAAUCCCCGAGCUUAACUUGGGAAUUGCAUUCGAUACUGGUUGGCUAGAGUAUGGGAGAGGAUGGUAGAAUUCCAGGUGUAGCGGUGAAAUGCGUAGAGAUCUGGAGGAAUACCGAUGGCGAAGGCGGCCAUCUGGCCUAAUACUGACGCUCAUAUGCGAAAGCGUGGGGAUCACACAGGAUUAGAUACCCUCGUA